GACGAACGCUGGCGGCGUGCUUAACACAUGCAAGUCGAACGGAAAGGCCCUUCUUUUGUGGGCUGCUCGGGUGGCGAACGGGUGAGUAACACGUGAGUAACCUUCCCUUUCCUUUUGAAUACCUUCAGCAAACUGGGGUUACUACCGGAUAUGAUCUCCUCCUGCUUGGUGGGGGUUGGCAUGUUCGGGUGGUUGGGGAUGGACUCGCGGUUUAUCAGCUUGUUGGUGGGGUAGUGGCUUACCAAGGCUUUGGCGGGUAGCCGGCCUGAGAGGGUGACCGGCCACAUUGGGACUGAGAUACGGCCCAGACUCCUACGGGAGGCAGAAGUGGGGAAUAUGGAAAAAUGGGCGGAAGCCUGAGGCAGAAACGCCGCGUGCGGGAUGAGGGCCUUCGGGUGGUAAACCGCUCUAGCAGGUGACGAAGCGUGAGUGACGGUAAUGGGUAAAGAAGCACCGGCUAACUACGUG
rnacentral:rRNA from 1 species